UUGCAUUACCAUCUUGUUCUCCUCGUUUCUUUGCAGGUUCUUUGCAUUUGGUGUCCCGUGUGCAGUGCCAUUUGCUCAUGUCCGUACAAGGUGGACUGCAUUCCUUCUGGCAGUGCGCCUACGUGAUCAAGGACAGGAGAAACGGUGAUGCGCAGGUGUUGUCCCACAUCGAAGUGAUAUGGAAUGCCCAUGGCAGACAGUCCAUGAGGUCCACGUGCCGAGCCAGGAAUGACUGGGCAGAACCAUGUGCAUCAGAGACAGAGCAUGUGACAUCCCAGAAGUUCAGAUUCUCCAAGUCGGCGAGGAACUGCGGAAAUUGCAAGCAACGAGUAAACAUCGAGCUGGUGCUGCUGCGGCGUAGCCCACUUGAGACCAUUUAGCCGAUGUGACCAUGCCUUUAUGAAGAAAUGUACAAGUCUCGUGCUUUGGAUAUUGCCAGAAAGCCAUGGCUACAGUGUCCUCUUGGAAAUAAUUAUUUCAUGAUAACAUUGCUGCUUAAUAUUUUGUGAACGUGGGAUUGCAGUGGGGAUGUGGUCCAUGUCCGUGGACUGCUCCAUUAAAUAGGCUUCAUUGAAAUAAGUGAAAUUGACUAUUCAAUUUUGGCUCUGUAAAUCGAAAUUGGGAGGAAGUAUAUAAUGAAUUUCUUUGUGAUGGUUAUGUUUCAUCAGUGUGAAGAAGUAUUGCCUGUUUUGUAAAUCACUAGUUGAUGUGAAGCAUUUAUUGAUGCACCUUUUUACACAUCCGCAUGUGCUGAAAAGAAGAAAUUUGUAUCUAAGCAACGGCAACACUCGGUAGUGACUCUUUGAUUUUACACUGUUGAAUGUAAGCGUUUAGUAGUGGCAACCUGAUAUUACCUUAUUUGCAUUUUGCCCUCUCAAACAUUGGUGCAUGUGUUCAUGUGUGUCGUGCUUUCUUGUCAACAAAAUUUUUGAUAUGGACAAAUAAACUGCUUGUUUUGCAGUUCCACUUA